UCAGUUUUCGGAAACUUUUAUAUUUACCAAAGAAACAAGCAUCGGAGAAAUCUAUAUAAACAGGCCAUAACACCUCUCGACCCCAUACCUCUCUCUCUCACUCUCUGUUGAUAACACCAUCAUCGGAGCGUUCGAAACCUUUAUCCUACAACUUGAAGCCGCCGGAAAACCGUACGAGAUCACGUUCGCUAUCACUCGUAGAUUGUUCUUAUUGCCGGUGUCGAUUCCGCAACAUCACCGGACUUCGCCGGAUAACCCGAAGCCAACCGGAGUCACGACGGAACUCGGUUCCUUUGUUUUGAUGAAGCUUUGAAUCGAAGAAGUCAUCGGACAAUCGCGACGAAACCCGUUCCUAUGGUGAUGUUGAUAAUCGCUCUCGUUCGAUCUCAUGGAUUUCUCCAAUCUUUACUCGUGCGUUAUUACAAGAAAUCGCAACGCUAUCAAUGUGAGUAUACAUGA
rnacentral:lncRNA from 1 species